rnacentral:rRNA from 1 species
UAAGGAAUAUUGGUCAAUGGACGCAAGUCUGAACCAGCCAUGCCGCGUGAAGGAUUAAGGCCCUCUGGGUUGUAAACUUCUUUUAUAUGGGACGAAAUGUGCCGAUUCUUCGGCACUUGACGGUACCAUAGGAAUAAGCACCGGCUAACUCCGUGCCAGCAGCCGCGGUAAUACGGAGGGUGCAAGCGUUAUCCGGAUUCACUGGGUUUAAAGGGUGCGUAGGCGGGCAGGUAAGUCAGUGGUGAAAUCUUCCGGCUUAACCGGAAAACUGCCGUUGAUACUAUUUGUCUUGAAUAUUGCGGAGGUAAGCGGAAUAUGUCAUGUAGCGGUGAAAUGCAUAGAUAUGACAUGGAACACCUAUUGCGAAGGCAGCUUACUACACAAUGAUUGACGCUGAUGCGCGAAAGCGUGGGGAGCGAACA